UCCUCACCUUACAAGCCGGUUUUGUAAGGAUGAGUUAGGCUCCAAAUUUCAACAUGGUAUCAGAGCUUGUCGAAUUCAAGGGCCACCUAAACCUAUUCACGCACCAAGCCCAAAGAGUGCUGGGCGUGAGGGGGGUGUAUUGGGAAAAAUCCAAGUCCCACAUCAGAUAGACAAGAAUCUUAAGAAGAGUUUAUAAAGAGGAGACAAUCCUCACCUUACAAGCCAGUUUUG
rnacentral:lncRNA from 1 species